rnacentral:lncRNA from 10 species
GGCUGAUGCUAAGUGCGCAAAGAGCACACAAAGAAUCGCAUGUUCUCCAGCCCUUGAAUUGAGGUGCAGUCACGUGUCUUGGUGCAGUGCGUGAAACCCGGAUGGAACAGAUAUGUUUUAAGAGCCAGUGCGCAAUUCACCAUGAUUCACUUCAUUCACUUCCCUUCCUACAACUAUUGCAGUUUGCCAAGAGUAGAGCGAUCUGUGCCACCCAUGAGGGACAACACAUAAACUGUGAUUAUUGUUUGUUAAGCUGGAAUUUGGGGGGUCAUUUGUUAAUGCAGCAAGACCUAAUCUCUCCUGACUGAGGCCAGAUUAAAUGAGUUAAUACAUCUAAAAUCCUUGGAGUACUGUCUGGCACAUGGCAGCCACCACAGACUGUUAGCUUUUAUUAUUGUUUAAACAAUCAUAAAGACAAAAUCAGCAAACCUGGACAUGGAGUAGCAGAUAGACUCCAGGGAGGCCCCAGUGGCCUCUGCCUCCUGGUGUUCAUGCCCUUAUUAAUCUCCUCCCCUUGAUUGUGGACUAGACCCACAUGAGGCUUUCUUCUUGCAAAGGUGAUGGAAUGUCACUUGCAGGACCUACAAUCAUAGUGUCUGUCUUGCUAGGAGGCUCUCUCCCUUGCUGGCUCUGAUGAAGUGAGUGGGUAUGUGGGAAGAACCACAUAACAGAGAACUGGGGGUGGCCGCCAGCCAAUGACCAGCUAAGAAUAGAGGGGGCAGCCUCUGGCCCAAAGCCAGCAAGAAUCUGAGCCCUACAGCCCCACAGCGAGGGUAACCAACUCAUUCCAGCCUGCCUGGGCUUUUUCAGCUUUAGCACUGGAGAGUCCCACAUCCCUGGAAAUUCCCUCCUGGUCUAUCCAGGACUAUCCUAGUUUUAGGGUUGAAAGGUUGGCAUCCCUGGAGCCCCUCAGUCCUGAGCAAACUGGAAUGGUCGGUGUAUUCGAUGGCUAGGACUGCCGUGACAAGUGCCACAGACUAGGCGGCUUACCGAACAGACGUUUAUUUGCUCACAGUUCUAGAGGCUGGAAGCCCUGGAUCAAGGCGUGGGCAGUGUUCUUUUCUUCUGAAGUCUCUCUCCUCGGCUUGCCGAUGGCCAUCUUCUCUCUGUGUCUUUACGUGGUCUUUCCUGUGUAUGUCCUAAUCUUAUUUGAUAGAAUAGUCAUAGCAGAUUUGGGCCCACCCUAAUAACUUUGUUUUAACUUAAUUACUUCUUCAAAGACCUAUUCCUAAAUACAGUCACAUUCUGAGGUACUGGGGCAUAGGACUUCAACAAAGGAAUUUUGGAGGGGGCACAGUUCGGCCCAUAAGAACUGGUUCCCCUAAUUGACAGCAACAAGAACCUGAAUUCUGCUAGCAACCAUGUGAGCUUGAAGCAGAUCCUCCCUGGUCAAGCCUUCAGAUGAGACCCAGUCCAGCUAACACUUUAAUGGCAGCCUUGCAGAGGAACCAGCUAAGCCAUGUGAGGCUCCUGACCCACAGAAACUGCUACAUAAUAAAUGGGUAUCCCAGCUACUCGGGAGACUGAGGCAGGAGAAUCGCUUGAACCAGGGAGUUGGUGGUUGCAGUGAGCCAAGAUCACGCCACUGCACUCCAGCCUGGUGACAGAGCAAGACUCCAUCUCAAUAAAUAAAUAAAUAAAUAAAUAAAUAAAACUGGGUAUCAUUUUAAGCUGCUAACUUUGUGACGUUUUGUUACAUAGCAAUGGGUAAUGAAUGCCUUGAGUCAUAUCUGUGCACUUGCCCAACCUUGCCCAUAGCUUUCUGCUGAUCCCUGGCACAGAACCUUCUGUUUCCAUAGUCACAUGAUGGUCUUCUGGGAGAACUGGAAGGACCAAUAUUACUCUGUAGAUUCCUCUUCUGUUUCACCCAAUAACUCACUCUUCUGGGUUCUUCACUCUUCCCUCAUGUGGUAUAACUUUGUUUUUGUCAAAAUACUUUUAUACACUUUACGAAUCAAUCCAUUUCUUGUUGGGUUCUGACAAUGUCCCCAGUACGACUGGGUCUUUAAAGUGUUGAGUUUUUAUCUUCUUUCCAGCCACACAGGAUAACCAUUCCCUCCUAACUGCAAAUAGCAAGGAUGAGGGUUACAGAGGUGAUGUCGUCAAGUGUAUUUGACUCCAGGCUCUGAGAACCUGCAGUCAUCUUCCCUAAUCCAGGAUGCCCAG